AUCAAAUUGAAAAUUUAUAUCUUAAUGAAUUGAUAGUUUCAGGUAAACUGAUUCUGAGUUACUAAAGUAUUGAUCUGCGCAAUUUGAAUUGUCUAGACUUUACAAAGAUGAAGAACAAAAUAAUUUUUUUUUCUUGAUUAGUACUAAACUAAUGGAGAAAAUAUAAUUUUUAAUCUAACAAGUGCUAUAUUAGCAAAAAUAACUUAGAA
rnacentral:misc_RNA from 1 species